rnacentral:lncRNA from 7 species
UGGGGACAUGGUGACCCCAAGUGACCCCAAAUGAGGCGAUGGUGACCCCAGAUGGGGACAUGGUGACCCCAAGUGACCCUAAAUGAGGCGAUGGUGACUCCAAGUGACCCCAAAUGGGGACAUGGUGACCCCAAAUGAGGUGAUGUUGACCCCAGGCGUCCCCAAGCGAAGGGACCCCCCUUAGGACCUUGAUGGCGUGACGGACGGGGCCGGCUGUGGGGCAGCGCCCCCCCUUUCCCCCUCCCACCCCAUAACCCCCGCAGCCCACUCACACGUUGGGGAAGCGCGUGGCGUAUUGGAUGGUCUGCGUGAGGGAGUUGUUGGCGCAGCCGGCGCUGGAACAGACGGCGUCGGUGCCCUCCGCGGUGGCGAAGUCGUAACCGGAAGUGGUGACGAAAUAAGUGGGGACGCCCACCUGAAGGAACCGCUCCAUGUCCGAAAAGUACUGCAGCAUAUAGGAGUCCUGCGGGGCCCAACGCCGCGCUGUGACCCGGCGCCACGCAGGGGGUGGGGGACACAAAGGGGGACCCCAAAGGGGGGAUGGGGGCCACAGAGGGGGAUGGGGAACCCAGAGGGGGACCCCAAAGGGGGGAUGGGGGCCACAAAGGGGGACCCCAAAGGGGGGAUGGGGGCCACAAAGGGGGACCCCAAAGGGGGAAUGGGGACCCUAAAGGGGGUUAUGGUGGGCCCUAAUGGGGAAUGGGGACCACAGAGGGGGGAUGGGGACCCCAGAGGGGGAAUUGGGGACCACAGAGGGGGAAUGGGGACCACAAAGGGGGACCCCAAAGGGGGGAUGGGGACCCCAAAGGGGGAUGGGGACCCCAGAGGGGGGAUGGGGACCCCAAAGGGGGAAUUGGGGACCCUAAAGGGGGUUAUGGUGGGCCCUAAUGGGGGAAUGGGGACCCCAAAGGGGGAAUGGGGAUCCCAAAGGGGGAAUGGGGACCCUAAAGGGGGAUGGGGACCCCAGAGGGGGGAUGGGGACCCCAAAGGGGGAUGGGGACCCCAAAGGGGGGAUGGGGACCCCAAAGGGGGAAUGGGGACCACAAAGGGGGACCCCAAAGGGGGAAUGGAGACCCUAAAGGGGGUUAUGGUGGGCCCUAAUGGGGAAUGGGGGACCACAGAGGGGGGAUGGGGACCCCAGAGGGGACCCCAGAGGGGGAUGGGGACCCUAAGGGGGACCCCAAAGGGGGGAUGGGGACCCCAGAGGGGGAUGGGGACCCCAGAGGGGGAAUUGGGGACCACAGAGGGGGAAUGGGGACCCCGAAGGGGGGAUGGGGACCCCAAAGGGGGGAUGGGGACCCUAAAGGGGGAAUUGGGGACCCUAAAGGGGGUUAUGGUGGGCCCUAAUGGAGGAAUGGGGACCCCAAAGGGGGAAUGGGGACCCCAAAGGGGGGAGGGGGAUCCCAGAUGGGGAAUGGGGACCCUAAAGGGGGAUGGGGACCCCAAAGGGGGAAUUGGGGACCCUAAAGGGGGUUAUGGUGGGCCCUAAUGGGGGAAUGGGGACCUCAAAGGGGGAAUGGGGACCCUAAAGGGGGAAUUGGGGACCACAGAGGGGGACCCCAAAGGGGGAAUUGGGGACCCUAAAGGGGGUUAUGGUGGGCCCUAAUGGUGGAUUGGGGACCCCAAAGGGGGAAUGGGGACCCUAAAGGGGGUUAUGGUGGGCCCUAAUGGGGGAAUGGGGACCCCAAAGGGGGAAUUGGGGACCCUAAAGGGGGAAUUGGGGACCACAGAGGGGGAAUGGGGACCCUGAAGGGGGGAUGGAGACCCCGAAUGGGGACCCCAAAGGGGGGAUUGGUGGCAACAGAGGGGGAAUGGGGACCCCAAAGGGGGACCCCAAAGGGGGGAUGGGGACCCCAGAGGGGGCUAUGGUGGGCCCUAAUGGGGAAUGGGGACCACAGAGGGGGGAUGGGGACCCCAGAGGGGUUAUGGUGGCACCAGAGGGGGAUUGGGGACCCCAAAGGGGGAAUGGGGACCCCAAAGGGGGGAAUGGUGGGCCCUAAUGGGGGAAUGGGGACCCCAAAGGGGGCUAUGGUGGGCCCUAAUGGGGAGUGGGGACCACAGAGGGGGGAUGGGGACCACAAAUGGGGAGUGGGGACCCCAAAGGGGGGGAUGGGGACCCCGAAUGGGGACCCCAAAGGGGGAACUGGGGACCCUAAAGGGGGUUAUGGUGGGCCCUAAUGGGGGAAUGGGGACCCCAAAGGGGGGAUGGGGACCCUAAAGGGGGAAUGGGGACCCCAGAGGGGGCUAUGGUGGGCCCUAAUGGGGAAUGGGGACCACAGAGGGGGGAUGGGGACCCCAGAGGGGGUUAUGGUGGCACCAGAGGGGGAUUGGGGACCCCAAAGGGGGGAAUGGUGGGCCCUAAAGGGGGAAUGGGGACCCCGAAUGGGGACCCCAAAGGGGGGAAUGGGGACCCCAAAUGGGGGAAUGGGGACCCCGGAGAGGGUUAUAGUGGGCCCUAAUGGGGGUAUGGAAACCCCAAAUGGGGGUAUGGUGGCCCCAGAGGGGGGAUUGGAGACCCCAGAGGGGGAAUGGGGACCCUAAAGGGGGAAUGGGGACCCUAAAGGGGGCUAUGGUGGGCCCUAAUGGGGAGUGGGGACCCCAGAGGGGGGAUGGGGACCCCUGAGGGGGUUAUGGUGGCACCAGAGGGGGAUUGGGGACCCCAAAGGGGGGAAUGGUGGGCCCUAAAGGGGGAAUGGGGACCCCGAAUGGGGACCCCAAAGGGGGGAAUGGGGACCCCAAAUGGGGGAAUGGGGACCCCGGAGAGGGUUAUAGUGGGCCCUAAUGGGGGUAUGGAAACCCCAAAUGGGGGUAUGGUGGCCCCAGAGGGGGGAUUGGAGACCCCAGAGGGGGAAUGGGGACCCUAAAGGGGGAAUGGGGACCCUAAAGGGGGUUAUGGUGGGCCCUAAUGGGGAGUGGUGGCCCCAAAUGGGGGUAUGGAGACCCCAGAGAGGGGAAUGGUGGGCCCUAAUAGGGGGGUGGUGGACCCAGGUGUACCCAAAUGGGGGUAUGGUGACCCCAAAUGGGGGUUAUGGUGACCCCAAAUGGGGGUUAUGGUGGCCCCACAUCAGCCCCAAUUGUCCCCAUGUGGGGGUAUGGUGGCCUCCAAUGGGGGAUUGGUGACCCCAAGAGUCCCCGGAUGGGGACGCGGUGACCCCGAAGUGUCCCCAGAUGGGUGUGGGUGUCCCCACGUGUCCCCACAUGGGGGUACAGAGCCCCAUAGGGCCGCAGCCCCCCCGGCCCCACACACCGUGGGCAUGGAGAGCUCCUGGUCCAACCCCACCUCCACCUGCAGCAUCAGAUACAGCCCGCAGAACGACAGCGCGAGGAACAGCAGCACCUGCGGAGCCCCACAGCGCCCCAUGGCCACUGCGCCCCACAGCGCCCCAUGGCCACUGUGCCCCACUGCGUCCCACAGUGCCCCACUGCGCCCCAUGGCCACAGUGCCCCACAGCGCCCCACAGCCACAGCGCCCCACUGCGCCCCACAGCGCCCCAUGGCCACAGUGCCCCACUGCGCCCCACAGCGCCCCAUGGCCACUGCGCCCCACUGCGCCCCACAGCGUCCCACUGCGCCCCACAGUGCCCCAUGGCCACCGCGCCCCACUGCACCCCAUGGCCACCAACCCCAAAGCGCCCCACAGCACCCCAUGGCCACAGUGCCCCACUGCGCCCCACAGUGCCCCAUGGCCACCAACCCCACAGCGCCCCCCGUAAGCCCUACACACCCCAUACCCACCCCAUGGCCAUACCCACCCAACACCCACCCCAUACCCACCCCACGGCCACACCUACCUCAUGGCCAUACCCACCCAACACCCACUCCAUACCCACCCCACAGCCCCACACAUCCCAUACCCACCCCACACCCACACCCCCCCCAUACCCACCCCAUGGCCAUACCAACCCCACCCCACCCCAUAUCCACAGCCACCCCACCCCCACCCAUGGCCACAACCACCCCAUACCCACCCCAUAGCCCUACACACCCAUACCCACCCAUGCGCCAUACCCACUCCACAGCCAUACCCACCCCACACCCACCCCAUGGCCGUAUCCACCCCACGGCCACACCCACCCCACAGCCCUACACACCCCACACCCACCCCAUAGCCAUACCCAUCCCAUACCCACCCCACAGCCUCCCCAUACCCACCCCACAAGCCACGCCUACUCCAACCCACCCCAUGGCCAUACCCACCCCACACCCACCCCACAGCCCUACCCACCCAUACCCACCCCAUAUCCACCCCACCCCACCCCACAGCCCCACAGCCCCACUCACCACGAGGGGCCGCACGCCAGCGGUGUAGGAGGACGGGGGUGUAGAAGCGGCUCAGGAAGGGGCGCAGCAGCCGCAGCCCCGACCGUAUGGCCGCGCUUCCACCC